GGCUUCGUGGCCUAAUGGCUAGGGCGCUAGAUUUCGGUGUUCAUAACACUCCUCUAGAGAUUGUCGGUUCGAGUCCGGCCGAAGUCG